rnacentral:rRNA from 1 species
UUUCACACUGUCAAGAAAAGCUUCUAUCGAGUUUAAAGGCGCCCGUACCGUAAACCGACACAGGUGGGUGAGGAGAGUAUCCUAAGGCCAGCGAGAGAACUAUUGUUAAGGAACUCGGCAAAAUGACCCCGUAACUUAGGGAGAAGGGGUGCCUGUCUAUGACAGGCCGCAGAGAAUAGGCCCAAGCGACUGUUUACCAAAAACACAGGUUUCUGCUAAGUCGCAAGACGAUGUAUAGGAGCUGACGCCUGCCCGGUGCUGGAAGGUUAAGGGGAUCUGUUAGAGCAAUCGAAGCAGUGAACUUAAGCCCCAGUAAACGGCGGCCGUAACUAUAACGGUCCUAAGGUAGCGAAAUUCCUUGUCGGGUAAGUUCCGACCCGCACGAAAGGCGUAACGAUUUGGGCACUGUCUCAACAAUAGACUCGGUGAAAUUGUAAUCCCGGUGAAGAUGCCGGGUACCUGCGACAGGACGGAAAGACCCCAUGGAGCUUUACUGUAGCUUGACGUUGGGUCUUGGUACUACAUGUACAGGAUAGGUGGGAGACUAUGAAGCAUGGACGCCAGUCUGUGUGGAGUCAUCCUUGGGAUACCACCCUUGUAGUACUGGGAUCCUAACCAUAGGCCUUGAAUCAGGUCUUGGAACACCGUCAGGUGGGCAGUUUGACUGGGGCGGUCGCCUCCUAAAAAGUAACGGAGGCGCUCAAAGGUUUCCUCAGCACGGUCGGAAAUCGUGCGAAGAGUGUAAAGGCAAAAGGAAGCUUGAUUGCAAGACAUACAGGUCGAGCAAGGACGAAAGUCGGACUUAGUGAUCCGGUGGUACCGCAUGGAAGGGCCAUCGCUCAACGGAUAAAAGCUACCCUGGGGAUAACAGGCUUAUCUCCCCCAAGAGUCCACAUCGACGGGGAGGUUUGGCACCUCGAUGUCGGCUCAUCACAUCCUGGGGCUGUAGUAGGUCCCAAGGGUUGGGCUGUUCGCCCAUUAAAGUGGUACGCGAGCUGGGUUCAGAACGUCGUGAGACAGUUCGGUCCCUAUCCGUCGCAGGCGUAGGAAAUUUGAGAAGACCUGUCCUUAGUACGAGAGGACCGGGAUGGACGUACCUCUGGUGUACCAGUUGUUCUGCCAAGGGCAUGGCUGGGUAGCUAUGUACGGAAUGGAUAAGCGCUGAAAGCAUCUAAGCGCGAAGCCAACUUCAAGAUAAGAUUUCCCACCGUAAGGGUAAGACCCCAGGAAGACUACCUGGUUGAUAGGUCGAAGGUGUAAGUGCAGUAAUGUAUUUAGCUUAUCGAUACUAAUAGGUCGAGGACUUGAUCG